UACAGAUAGGAGCAGACAUUUUAAAAAGAGCCUUGGCCUAUCCUGCACAACAGAUAGCCAAAAAUGCUGGUGUAAAUGGAAACACUGUCAUACAGGAGGUUCUGUCAUCAGACGACAUAAGGUAUGGAUACAAUGCUGCAAAAAA